GUUUUCAGGAUCGUAAAACUCUCGUUGUUAGGGAAGAACAAGUACCGUUCGAAUAGGGCGGUACCUUGACGGUACCUAACCAGAAAGCCACGGCUAACUACGUGCCAGCAGCCGCGGUAAUACGUAGGUGGCAAGCGUUGUCCGGAAUUAUUGGGCGUAAAGCGCGCGCAGGCGGUUUCUUAAGUCUGAUGUGAAAGCCCCCGGCUCAACCGGGGAGGGUCAUUGGAAACUGGGGAACUUGAGUGCAGAAGAGGAGAGUGGAAUUCCACGUGUAGCGGUGAAAUGCGUAGAGAUGUGGAGGAACACCAGUGGCGAAGGCGACUCUCUGGUCUGUAACUGACGCUGAGGCGCGAAAGCGUGGGGAGCGAACAGGAUUAGAUACCCUGGUAGUCCACGCCGUAAACGAUGAGUGCUAAGUGUUAGAGGGUUUCCGCCCUUUAGUGCUGCAGCAAACGCAUUAAGCACUCCGCCUGGGGAGUACGGUCGCAAGACUGAAACUCAAAGGAAUUGACGGGGGCCCGCACAAGCGGUGGAGCAUGUGGUUUAAUUCGAAGCAACGCGAAGAACCUUACCAGGUCUUGACAUCCUCUGACAACCCUAGAGAUAGGGCUUCCCCUUCGGGGGCAGAGUGACAGGUGGUGCAUGGUUGUCGUCAGCUCGUGUCGUGAGAUGUUGGGUUAAGUCCCGCAACGAGCGCAACCCUUGAUCUUAGUUGCCAGCAUUCAGUUGGGCACUCUAAGGUGACUGCCGGUGACAAACCGGAGAGGGUGGGGAUGACGUCAAUCAUCAUGCCCCUUAUGACCUGGCUACACACGUGCUACAUGGCAGA
rnacentral:rRNA from 1 species